GGGGGUAGUUCAAUGGUAGAGCACAUGCUUAGGAUGCUUGAAGUCCUGGGUUCAAUCCCCAGGACCUCCU
rnacentral:tRNA from 1 species